GAUGAACGCUGGCGGCGUGCCUAAUACAUGCAAGUCGAGCGAACGGACGAGAAGCUUGCUUCUCUGAUGUUAGCGGCGGACGGGUGAGUAACACGUGGAUAACCUACCUAUAAGACUGGGAUAACUUCGGGAAACCGGAGCUAAUACCGGAUAAUAUUUUGAACCGCAUGGUUCAAAAGUGAAAGACGGUCUUGCUGUCACUUAUAGAUGGAUCCGCGCUGCAUUAGCUAGUUGGUAAGGUAACGGCUUACCAAGGCAACGAUGCAUAGCCGACCUGAGAGGGUGAUCGGCCACACUAGAACUGAGACACGGUCCAGACUCCUACGGGAGGCAGCAGUAGGGAAUCUUCCGCAAUGGGCGAAAGCCUGACGGAACAACGCCGCGUGAGUGAUGAAGGUCUUCGGAUCGUAAAACUCUGUUAUUAGGGAAGAACAUAUGUGUAAGUAACUGUGCACAUCUUGACGGUACCUAAUCAGAAAGCCACGGCUAACUACGUG
rnacentral:rRNA from 1 species